UAGGGAAUCUUCGGCAAUGGACGAAAGUCUGACCGAGCAACGCCGCGUGAGUGAAGAAGGUUUUCGGAUCGUAAAACUCUGUUGUUAGAGAAGAACAAGGACGUUAGUAACUGAACGUCCCCUGACGCUAUCUAACCAGAAAGCCACGGCUAACUACGUGCCAGCAGCCGCGGUAAUACGUAGGUGGCAAGCGUUGUGGAUUUAUUGGGCGUAAAGCGAGCGCAGGCGGUUUCUUAAGUCUGAUGUGAAAGCCCCCGGCUCAACCGGGGAGGGUCAUUGGAAACUGGGAGACUUGAGUGCAGAAGAGGAGAGUGGAAUUCCAUGUGUAGCGGUGAAAUGCGUAGAUAUAUGGAGGAACACCAGUGGCGAAGGCGGCUCUCUGGUCUGUAACUGACGCUGAGGCUCGAAAGCGUGGGGAGCAAACAGG
rnacentral:rRNA from 1 species